AUAGAACGCUGGCGGAAUGCUUUACACAUGCAAGUCGAACGGCAGCACGGACUUCGGUCUGGUGGCGAGUGGCGAACGGGUGAGUAAUGUAUCGGAACGUGCCCAGUCGUGGGGGAUAACGUAGUGAAAAUUACGCUAAUACCGCAUACGAUCUAUGGAUGAAAGCGGGGGAUCGCAAGACCUCGCGCGAUUGGAGCGGCCGAUAUCAGAUUAGGUAGUUGGGGGGGUAAAGGCCCACCAAGCCAACUAUUUGUAGCUGGUCGGAGAGGACGACAAGCCACACGGAAACGGGGCCACGGUCCAGACUCCUACGGGGGGCAGCAGUGGGGAAUUUGGGACAAUGGGCGAAAGCCUGAUCCAGCCAUUCCGCGUGCAGGAUGAAGGCCCUCGGUUUGUAAACUGCUUUUGUACAGAACAAAAAGGUUUCUACUAAUACUAGGAGCUCAUGACGGUACUGUAAGAAUAAGCACCGGCUAACUACGUGCCAGCAGCCGCCGUAA
rnacentral:rRNA from 1 species